rnacentral:lncRNA from 1 species
GUUCAAAUUUUUUAUACGACCGCAAAAUUUGAAAAAUUUUUCGUCGUAUAUUGCUAUCACGUUGGCGUCUGCGUCGUCGUCGUCGUCGUCGUCGUCCGGCGUCCGAAUACUUUUAGUUUUCGCACUCUAACUUUAGUAAAAGUGAAUGGAAAUCUAUGAAAUUUUAACACAAGGUUUAUGACCACAAAAGGAAGGUUGGUAUUGAUUUUGGGAGUUUUGGUCCCAACAUUUUAGGAAUUAGGGGC